UUGACCUCGGAUCAGGUAGGGAUACCCGCUGAACUUAAGCAUAUCAAUAAGCGGAGGAAAAGAAACCAACCGGGAUUGCCUCAGUAACGGCGAGUGAAGCGGCAAGAGCUCAAAUUUGAAAGCUGGCUCCUUCGGAGUCCGCAUUGUAAUUUGCAGAGGAUGCUUUGGGUGCGGCCCCCGUCUAAGUGCCCUGGAACGGGCCGUCAGAGAGGGUGAGAAUCCCGUCUUGGGCGGGGUGUCCGUGCCCGUGUAAAGCUCCUUCGACGAGUCGAGUUGUUUGGGAAUGCAGCUCUAAAUGGGUGGUAAAUUUCAUCUAAAGCUAAAUACUGGCCGGAGACCGAUAGCGCACAAGUAGAGUGAUCGAAAGAUGAAAAGCACUUUGAAAAGAGAGUUAAACAGCACGUGAAAUUGUUGAAAGGGAAGCGCUUGCGACCAGACUCGCCCGCGGGGUUCAGCCGGCAUUCGUGCCGGUGUACUUCCCCGUGGGCGGGCCAGCGUCGGUUUGGGCGGCCGGUCAAAGGCCCCUGGAAUGUAGUGCCCUCCGGGGCACCUUAUAGCCAGGGGUGCAAUGCGGCCAGCCUGGACCGAGGAACGCGCUUCGGCACGGACGCUGGCAUAAUGGUCGUAAAC
rnacentral:rRNA from 2 species